rnacentral:misc_RNA from 1 species
GUUGGAAGCAGAGAUAAAGAGGGCCCGUGCUCGAGUGUUGCAGGCUAGGCGUGUGGCUAAGUCUGUAUCUCAACAACGUGAACUGGAGAGGAGGAAAAUGAGGGAUAAGUUGGAAGAUCGAAUGCAAAGGGCAAAGAGAAAAAGAGCAGAAUACUUGAGGCAGAGAGGAAGGCCAAAUAUAGCUAGUCGAGUGAACGUUAUAAGGAUGCAAAAACAGGCUGACAUCCUAUCCCAAAAGUUAGCAAGGUGCUGGAGGAGAUUUCUAAAACUGAGGAGGACCACUUUAACAUUGACUGAAGCAUACAAUUCCUUAAAAAUUAAUGGAAAAUCUGUUAAGUCAAUGCCUUUCGAGCAGUUUGCUGUUCUGAUUGAAUCAAGUUCUACUCUCCAAACUGUUAAAGCAUUACUUGAUCGACUGGAAAGCCGCUUGAAAGUCGCUAAGGUUGUUGCUGCUACAAGUUAUCCAUUUAGUUUUGAUAAUAUUGACCACCUCCUCAAGCGAGUUG